rnacentral:rRNA from 1 species
AUUGAACGCUGGCGGCAGGCCUAACACAUGCAAGUCGAACGAGUGGCGGACGGGUGAGUAAUGUCUGGGAAACUGCCUGGUGGAGGGGGAUAACUACUGGAAACGGUAGCUAAUACCGCAUACCAUCGGAUGUGCCCAGAUGGGAUUAGCUAGUAGGUGGGGUAACGGAUCACCUAGGCGACGAUCCCUAGCUGGUCUGAGAGGAGGACCAGUCAAACUGGAACUGUGACACGGUCCAGACUCCGACGUGAGUCAGCAGUGGGGAAUAUUGCACAAUGGGAGCAAGCCUGAUGCAGCCAUGCGUCGUGUAUGAAGAAGGCCUUCGGGUUGUAAAGUACUUUCAGCGGGGAGGCGUUACCCGCAGAAGAAGCACCGGCUAACUCCGUGCCAGCAGCCGCGGUAAUAC